CCUACGGGAGGCAGCAGUGAGGAAUAUUGGUCAAUGGACGAGAGUCUGAACCAGCCAAGUAGCGUGAAGGAUGACUGCCCUAUGGGUUGUAAACUUCUUUUAUAUGGGAAUAAAACGUUCCACGUGUGGGAUUUUGUAUGUACCAUAUGAAUAAGGAUCGGCUAACUCCGUGCCAGCAGCCGCGGUAAUACGGAGGAUCCGAGCGUUAUCCGGAUUUAUUGGGGUUAAAGGGAGCGUAGGUGGAUUGUUAAGUCAGUUGUGAAAGUUUGCGGCUAAACCGUAAAAUUGCAGUUGAAACUGGCAGUCUUGAGUACAGUAGAGGUGGGCGGAAUUCGUGGUGUAGCGGUGAAAUGCUUAGAUAUCACGAAGAACUCCGAUUGCGAAGGCAGUUCACUGGACUGCAACUGACACUGAGGCUCGAAAGUGUGGGUAUCAAACAGGAUUAGAUACCCGUGUAGUC
rnacentral:rRNA from 1 species